rnacentral:rRNA from 1 species
AACAGGAUUAGAUACCCUGGUAGUCCACGCCGUAAACGAUGUCGACUUGGAGGUUGUUCCCUUGAGGAGUGGCUUCCGGAGCUAACGCGUUAAGUCGACCGCCUGGGGAGUACGGCCGCAAGGUUAAAACUCAAAUGAAUUGACGGGGGCCCGCACAAGCGGUGGAGCAUGUGGUUUAAUUCGAUGCAACGCGAAGAACCUUACCUACUCUUGACAUCCAGAGAACUUAGCAGAGAUGCUUUGGUGCCUUCGGGAACUCUGAGACAGGUGCUGCAUGGCUGUCGUCAGCUCGUGUUGUGAAAUGUUGGGUUAAGUCCCGCAACGAGCGCAACCCUUAUCCUUUGUUGCCAGCGAUUCGGUCGGGAAUUCAAAGGAGACUGCCGGUGAUAAACCGGAGGAAGGUGGGGAUGACGUCAAGUCAUCAUGGCCCUUACGAGUAGGGCUACACACGUGCUACAAUGGCGCAUACAAAGAGAAGCGACCUCGCGAGAGCAAGCGGACCUCAUAAAGUGCGUCGUAGUCCGGAUCGGAGUCUGCAACUCGACUCCGUGAAGUCGGAAUCGCUAGUAAUCGUGGAUCAGAAUGCCACGGUGAAUACGUUCCCGGGCCCUUGUACACACCGCCCGUCACACCAUGGGAGUGGGUUGCAAAAGAAGUAGGUAGCUUAACCUUCGGGAGGGCGCUUACCACUUUGUGAUUCAUGACUGGGGUGAAGUCGUAAC